CUUCAGAGGCAUUAAACUCAAACACACCAAUAGAAAAUUAAAGGUUUGCUGAAUAUAAUGAAAUAAACCACCAAAAAGAACCAACACAAUUUUACAUAUGGGAAGGAUGUAGUUAGGCUCAUUAAAACAAGUUGUGGUGAAGAGGAUCCCAGAUGAAAUCAAUCACCGAUGAGAACAAUAAAAACAAUAACUUUAUUGUCUACUGUAUCCUAUACUCAAUAUUAAACUGAAAAUAAAGUGGAAUACAAACAAACAUGAGACAUAAUAUUUGUCCAAAACAAACAAACAAAAUUAUGUGUCUUCACACUAAGUACUUCAGCUAAUUCAGCUCAUUAAAACUAUGAUCCCAGAUGAAUUGAUUCACCAAUAAGAACAAUAAAGACAACAACUUUAUCUUCUACAACAUCCUAUCCUCAACUAAACCAAAUACAAUCAAAUGUGAGAGAUGAGAUUUGUCCCAAACAAACAAAACUACGUAUUCACACUCAACCUCAAGUAAAAACUGAACCAAAAAUACCAAGAACGAUUUCAAACAAGAAUCCUUCACAAAUUAUUCAAAUACAACAAAUAAAACAAACAAAAGCCACUAUUGAAAGAGAAGAAACUGGUCUGUAAUCCAGAAAAAAUUACAAUAAACAAAAGAAAAUAAAAUCAUUACAGAAAAAUUUGCCAUAUCAGACAGAGUAAACAACCAAAAUAAUACAUGCUUGAAGCUAUUAAAAAUAUAAGAAAAGUAACUGAAUAACCCCAUGAUAGCUUCACACACAUCAACAAACAGAUAGAUAUCUCCCCACAGAUAUAUUUACUAAACAAAAGAAAAGACGCUAAAAUCAUAAAAAGAUUGAAUCUUUCAUUAACCCACAACAAGAAACUAUAAAGCUAUUUGUUCUGAUGCUUUGGGAUGGAAACAUUUCAGACAAACACACACUUCCACCAUAUCAGACAUCCAGUAAACAACCAAAACAAAACAUGCUUAAAGCUAUCAACAACAAAAGAAGAGCAAGUGAGUAACCCCAUGAUAGCUUCACACACAUCAACAAACAGAUAGAUGUCUCCCCACAAACAUAUUUAUUGAACAAAAAAAAAGACAGUAAAUCAUAAAAAGAUUGAAUCUUGAAUCUUUUGAUAAACCCACAAAUAAGAAACUAUAAAGCUAUUUUUUCUGAUGCUUUGGGUAUAGAAACAUUACAGAAAAACACAAUCUUACAAACUUUAACAUACCAGACAUUCAGUAAACAACCACAACAAAACAUGUUUGAAGCUAUUAACAACACAAGAAGAGCAAGUGAGUAACCCCAUUAUAGCUUCACACACAUCAACAAACAGUCAGAUGUCUCCCCACAAACAUAUUUAUUGAACAAAAAAAAGACAGUAAAUCACAAAAAGAUUGAAUCUUUUGAUUAACCCACAAACAAGAAACUAUAAAGCUAUUUGUUCUGAUGCUUUGGGAAUAGAAACAUUACAGAAAAACACAAACUUACAAACUUUAACAUACCAGACAUUCAGUAAACAACCACAACAAAACAUGUUUGAAGCUAUUAACAACACAAGAAGAGCAAGUGAUAACCUCAUGAUAGCUUCACACACAUUAACAAACAGGUAGAUGUCUCCCCACGAAUACAUUUAUUGACCAAAAAAACACAAUCAUAAAAAGAUUGAAUCUUUUGGAUCAACUCACAAACAAGAAACUAUAAAGCUAUGUGUUCUGAUGCUUUGGGAAUAGAAACAUUACAGAAAACACAAACUUUUCACCACAUCAGACCUUCAGUAAACAACCAAAAUAAAACAUGCUUGAAGCUAUUAACAAUACAAGAAGAGUAUAAGUAAGUAACCCCAUGAUAGUUUCACACACAUCAUCAAACGUAUAUUUUAUUGAACGCAAAAAAAGACAGCAAAUCAUUAAACCCACAAACAAGAAGCUAUAAUGCUAUUUUGUUCUCAUGCUUUGGGAAUAAAACAUUAUAGAAAAACAUUAACUUUCACCAUAUGAGACAUUCAGUAAACAACCCCAUCAUAGCUUUUCACACAUCAACAAACAGAUAGACAUCUCCUCACCAAUAUAUAUAUUGAAAAAAAAUAAGACAAUAAAUCAUAAAAAGAUUGAAUCUUUCGAUUAACCCAUAAACAAGAAACUAUAAAGCUAUUUGUUUUGAUGCUUUGGGAAUAAAACAUUAUAGAAAAACACAAACUUUCACCAUAUCAGACAUUCAGUAAACAACCAAAACAAAACAUGCUUGAAGCUAAUAACAAUACAAGAAGAGCAAGAGAGUAACCCCAUCAUAGCUUCACACACAUCAACAAACAUAUAGAUAUCUCCUCACCAAUAUAUAUAUCUCCUCACCAAUAUAUAUAUAUAUAUAUAUAUAUAAUACUGAACAAAAAAUUAAGACACUAAAUCAUAAAAAGAUUGAAUCUUUCGAUUAACCCACAAACAAGAAACUAUAAAGCUUUUUAUUCUGAUGCCUUGGGAAUAGAAACA
rnacentral:lncRNA from 1 species